CAGCCGUAAACUAUGCGCGUUAGGUGUACUGGUGACCACGAGUCACCGGGGUGCCGAAGGGAAACCGUGAAACGUGCCGCCUGGGAAGUACGGUCGCAAGGCUGAAACUUAAAGGAAUUGGCGGGGGGAGGCACCACAACGGGUGGGAGCCUGCGGGUUUAAUUUGGACUCAACGCCGGGAAAUACUCACCGGGAUAGGACAGACAAAUGAUAGUCGGGCUGAAGACUCUACUUGAUGAUCUGGAGAGGAGAUGCAUGGCGUCAGUGA
rnacentral:rRNA from 1 species